rnacentral:rRNA from 1 species
CCUGGUUGAUUCUGCCAGUAGUCAUAUGCUUGUCUCAAAGAUUAAGCCAUGCAUGUCUCAGUAUAAGCAACUUGUACGUGUGAAACUGCGAAUGGCUCAUUAAAUCAGUUAUAAUUUAUUUGAUAGUGGUAUUACUACAUGGAUAGCCGUAGUAAUUCUAGAGCUAAUACAUGCAAGAAGACCCGACUCGUGAGGGAAGGGUUGUGUUUAUUAGAUCGAAAACCAACGCAGGGAUAAUGGGAUGAGCAAUCAUUUCAUUAUCCCGAAUGAAUGGUGAGUCAUGAUAAAUGUCGAAUCGAAUUUUCAUUCGAUGUGUCAUUCAAAUUUCUGCCCUAUCAACUUGUUGGUAGGAUAGAGGCCUACCAUGGUUUUGACGGGUAACGGAGGAUUAGGGUUCGAUUCCGGAGAGGGAGCCUGAGAAAUGGCUACUACUUCUAAGGAAGGCAGCAGGCGCGCAAAUUACCCAAUCCCAAUUAUAUUGGGGAGGUAGUGACAAAAAAUACCGAUGCUGGAUCUUUUAGAUUCAGUAAUUGGAAUGGUUUGGAAGCAAAUUGUCCAUAGAGCAGCCAUUAGAGGGCAAGUCUGGUGCCAGCAGCCGCGGUAAUUCCAGCUCUAAUAGUGUAUACUAAAAUUGCUGCAGUUAAAAAGCUCGUAGUUGGAUUUUGGAUGGAACAAGAUACCUUUAUGUUUUUUCUGCUGUGCAUAUCUGUUAUGUAGCUAGCCUGUUUCUUGAGGCUGUUAUGUGACGUAUGUAUGGUCAUAAAGGUUGUUUCGUCCGUGUUUUUAUAAAACAAUUUUUCGGAAGUAUUCAAUCCCCUUCAUUGGGCGAUUGUAUAAUUUCGGAGGAUUUACUUUGAAGAAAUUGUAGUGUUUAAAGCAGGCGUUUCGCAGCUGAACACAUUAGCAUGGAAUAAUAAAAUAGGACAUCUGAGUUAGGUACCUACUUUGUUUCCCGCCGAUAAUCUUCCGAAUGUGUUUCUAAAUGGGAAGUGGUUAAAGGGGAAUGGAUCUUUUUUUCAGUGACAGUUCCUUCGGGGACGUUGCUGGGGGAGAGGUUAUUUUUCUUUGCCUUUCUCAUUUGGCUAGAAUACAUUUGAGGUUGUUGGAAGAGGGGUGAAGGGAUGGGGCCUAGCUAUCGUUAGUAUAUCUAUUUUGUUGGUUUAUGGAGAAGGUGUAAUGAUUAAUAGGGACAGUUGGGGGCAUCCGUAUUGCAUUGUCAGAGGUGAAAUUCUUGGAUUUAUGCAAGACGAACUAGUGCGAAAGCAUUUGCCAAGGAUGUUUUCAUUAAUCAAGAACGGAAAGUUAGGGGGAUCGAAGGCGAUCAGAAACCGCCGUAGUCUUAACUAUAAACUAUACCCAACUAGGGAUUGGAGAGUGUACUUAUAAUGGCCUCGUCAGCACCUUGAGAAAUCAAAGUCUCUGGGUUCUGGGGGGAGUAUGGUCGCAAGGCUGAAACUUAAAGAAAUUGGCGGAAGGGCACCACCAGGUGUGGAGCUGCGGCUUAAUUCGACUCAACACGGGGAAACUCACCAGGUCCAGACACGGGAAGGAUUGACAGAUUGAUAGCUCUUUCUUGAUUCUGUGGGUGGUGGUGCAUGGUCGUUCUUAGUUGGUGGAGUGAUUUGUCUGGUUAAUUCCGAUAACGAACGAGACCUUAACCUGCUAAAUAGCUCAGUCUCAAAAGUUUCCUUUUGAGAUUUUGGGGGAGGGAGGGUUCGCCUUUCCUUCUUUUUUUAGAGCUUCUUAGAGGGACUACCAUGGUUGCACAUGGUGGAAGCUUGAGGCAAUAACAGGUCUGUGAUGCCCUUAGAUGUCCUGGGCCGCACGCGCGCUACAAUGAUGCAAUCAGCGAGGUUGUGCUUGCCCGAAAGGGUUGGCUAAUCUUGAUAAAACUGCAUCGUACUGGGGAUUGAUCUUUGUAAUUUUGGAUCAUGAACUAGGAAUACCUAGUAAGUGCAUGUCAUCAGCAUGCGCUGAUUACGUCCCUGCCCUUUGCACACACCGCCCGUCGCUCCUACCGAUUGAAUGAUCAGAUGAAAUGCUCGGAUGCGUGGCGUUCUGCCCGUUAAACGGUGGCGCGCCGUGCAGAAGAGUAGUAAAUCUUAUUAUUUAGAGGAAGGAGAAGUCGUAACAAGGUUUCCGUAGGUGAACCUGCCGA